rnacentral:rRNA from 1 species
GUGGGGAAUAUUGGACAAUGGGCGCAAGCCUGAUCCAGCCAUGCCGCGUGUGUGAUGAAGGCCUUAGGGUUGUAAAGCACUUUCACCGGAGAAGAUAAUGACGGUAUCCGGAGAAGAAGCCCCGGCUCACUUCGUGCCAGCAGCCGCGGUAAUACGAAGGGGGCUAGCGUUGUUCGGAAUUACUGGGCGUAAAGCGCACGUAGGCGGAUAUUUAAGUCAGGGGUGAAAUCCCAGAGCUCAACUCUGGAACUGCCUUUGAUACUGGGUAUCUUGAGUAUGGAAGAGGUAAGUGGAAUUGCGAGUGUAGAGGUGAAAUUCGUAGAUAUUCGCAGGAACACCAGUGGCGAAGGCGGCUUACUGGUCCAUAACUGACGCUGAGGUGCGAAAGCGUGGGGAGCAAA